rnacentral:snRNA from 1 species
CGAAGAUUAGCCUGGCUCCUGCAGAAGGAUGACAUGCAAAUUCGUGAAGCAUUCCAUAUUUUU